UCAGUUUAGAUAGGUAGAGUAUUUUAUUCAAUAGAGUAAAUUCAAUAAAUCAAAUACAUAAAAGAGGGAGUCAUGAUGGUAUUGACUAAAAAUUGGAAACUUUCAUAUCAAUACAUAAAUUUAUUAAUUAAAGCAAUACAGUACACAUAAAACAACUUUAAAGAAGAUGAAGUAAUGUAAUAUAAAUUAGGAGAAUUCGAUCUCAAAAUACCAUUUGGUGUGAUCCUUUGUUCCCCUUAAAAUCCAAUAUUUGACAAUUCAUCUUAGGCAGUCACGUUUGUAUCGGGGGCAUGCUUUUCGAGUACCAGGAUUUGAUACAGGAAGGCAGUAGCGGUUCCCCGGACGGCAAUCAAGAGCAGGACGGUUAGGAUUUCCCACGCCGCCAGUUGCGCUAUUGGUGCUAGCUGUAAGCAUUCUGUUAGUCUCGGAGUCCAUCAUCAACUCUAAUUCCAUGUUGGUAUCUGCCAUGGAAAAGGAAAAGGAGUUGUUGCUAAUCAUUUCCUGCGGAGUACUAACAGCUCCCAGACAACUGCUUCUGCUCAUCAGAAUCAAAAUCACCACCACCGCUAGAGAAAGACUCCUCAUUCUGCCUUUUUUUUUAGUACUAUUUUCUAGUGUCGGUGUUUAUUUCAUAUGAAAAUACAGCUGGGAAGAGAGCUCUAAAUAGUAAAGUGGUGGUUUUUUGACAUUGACUUAUUGGCUGCAUUCGAAAUUGCUCCACUUAAGAAAUUGAUUUGGACCAAGAGAUAAUGGAUAAUGAGUCCACCAUAUCCUUAUCUUUAAGAUUUUAUUUAAUGUAUUUAUGAGUGUAUUAUAACUAGUGUAAUUGAUUGGUGAAUAGAGUGAGUGAUUGAUCCCUUCAUGACUCUAUUUCACCCAUUUUCAUAACUUAGCAAUAAUAAUUAUUUGUGAGUGGUUGCCUAUAUCACGACAAUCAUAGAGGUAAAAUAUCAACAUUUCCUAAACAUUAUACAACUAGUUAUAUACGGCCUGCUCGUCGAGCGAAUAUUUAUUUAUUUUUUUUAUUAUUUGAAAAAAUAUUAAUAUUUAUUGGAAAAAAAUAAAAAUAUUAAUUAUGUAAUUAUUUUAUUUAAUAAUUUAAAAAUAAUAUUAAUGAUAUUAUUAAUUUAAUUAUUUAUUAUCAAAAGCUUAAACAUUUUAUUAUUUUAAAAGAAUAUUAAUGAUAUUAUUAAAUUUUUUAAACAAUUGAACAAUAUCAUUAAAAAUGGUAGAUCAUAUUAAUUCGAACUCAAAAUAACUUAAAAGAAAAUUAAAUUAUAAAACAAUUAAAAAAAUAAAAAAUAAAAAAUAAAAUGAAAAGGAAAAAUAGAUAUAAAUAAAAACUAAUUUCUAUAUUUCCGCUCUGGUACUUCACAUAUCAAUAUGCUAACUGUAGGACAACUCAAGGAGGUCUGAGUUCUUCCAUGUUGAGCUUGUUGAAGAUGGAUAGUGGCAUCACACUUAUAUCAGCUCCUAAAUCACAUAAAGCUUUAUCAAUCUUCACUGCUCCGACUUCCACACAAGAAGGAAAAACUUCCUUAAUCUUUCAUUUUUGGUGGCAGCUUAUUUUGGAUCAUUGCAUUACAAUUCUCAGAAAGUGCCACUAUUUCCAAUUCUUUUAUUUUCCAUUUCUUCGUCAAAAUUUCUUUCAAAAAUUUAGCUAUGUCGACAUCUGAGCUGAGGCGGUGCCAAAGCCAGUGAAGUGGGGUCAAUUGACCCACUCAACUUUUAAAAACAAUUUAUAAAUAGGACUUAAUUGAUAAAAAAAAUGAAAAGUAUAUAUUAAGUGAAAAAUUGUAGAGCUUUUAAUCUAAUUGACCCCACUACAAAUGAAAUUAAAUAAAUGGCCCAACUGAAAAUCAUUUCUAGCUCCGCCACUGCAUCUGGGUCAUGAUGUAUUAAAAUGGAAUGUUAACAUAUAAUUAUUUUAGCAUCUCCAAAAAUUUCUCAAAUUGCCUAUUUUGGUUCGUUUAUCAGAGUCACUAUGGAAUGAAAUAACUUCCUCUUAAAGCCUUUUAUUCUCCUUUGAAUAUUCUCUUCUUGUCUUUUCUUUCUUACUUCAUCGUCUUCAGCUGUUUCAUGGUACUUUCUAAUUGCCACCCAAAUACUCACGAUUUUUUUCACUUAAAUGGGUUGAUAGUCACAAGUAUAUAAGGUUAUUGCAAUACCGGAUAAAUCUCUUGUUUUGUAUUUGAAAAAAAUGGCAUCGAAUGUUACUUUUGUUUUCUACAUGCUUUUUUGGAAGUUUGUGUACCGCAAAGCCUAUAGUUAGUGCAUGGAGAUUUUCUCACACAUAGGUAGUAAAGAGUAGCUAGAGCCUCAGAAGAGGAUCGUGAUCUACAUCGAUAUUAGAGUUACUUUUCUUUUUGGGUAGAAGAUCUUAUUUCUUAUAAUAGAGUAGGACAAACUUAUAUUUGGAAUGUACAAAUGUUUAUUACAUAUAUAAGAGAUUUAUAAAGAAAAAUUUUGUAUGAGCUUACAUAUUGGAAAAACCUUUAAUAGAUUAUAUAUGGACGAUUUUUUGAAAGUGAUUUGUGAAGUUUAAGCUGAUCGAUUGAAUGUAGUUAUGUGGAGUUAAAAGUGGGAAGUUUUAGAAGUGUUUUAUUAACAAGUUAAAAAUCUCGAGGAUGUUAGGAUUUUAAAGAAAACUCUUGCAUUUUUUCCGUUAAAAUAUAAGUUAAGAAAUAUAAAAAUAUACAUGUUUUAGGAUAAUAAUGGUUAAGUUUGAGAUAUGAGUUAUUGAUUAUAGAUUUAGUGCUCUUAGCGCAAUAUGUGGUAUCUCUUAUUUGGACUAUUUAUCGACCCGAUGGUUUAUCUAUAAUCCGAAUAAAAGUGUUACACGAGAAGUAUGAGUUGAUUAUUUGAAAAUAGUUAUUUGAGGUUUAAGAUUUGAUAUUAUGUUAGCAUUUUCUAAGCAAGUUUAUAAAUUAGAAAUGUUAAGAUUAUAGGGGAAAUUCUUAUAGGUUUUUUGUAGAAAUUUUAUAUACGGUUAUUGCAUGUUAGUAAUGUUACUUUGUAAGUCAGAAUCAUAUAAUAGGAAGUUACAAAAUUAGUAUAUUUGGCAUAGCAUGCGGUGAUUUAUCAAAUGCAAUCAUGUUAGUAAUGACAGAGAAGUGGCUGUGGUAGCAGAUCGGAGAUGUUAAGAAAUGAGUAAAUACUGCAUGACAGAGAGUCCUGUGGUUUCUAUGCCAACCACAAAGCGUUUGACCAAUAUACGUCACGUCGUUGUUUCGUUAACCUGAGAAUUACAGUUACGAAUAAAAGAUCAAGCAUCGAAUAUCUCCAUCCAUAGCGAGACAUAAUUGCCACAUAAGCAUUGCAACGGCAGAGAGAAUGAAUACCACCACCCACAAUGAGAAUCAAUGCCAGCAAUUCUGGAUCUUACCUUCUCAGAACAUCCUCCCCCUCUUUGCCCAACCUCCCCCUGCCACUCGCUAUCUUCAUAUCAUAACGAUCUUUCCAAAACCAGUGGCUAUCCCAACCAUUCACGACAACAAAGCCGUCUUUUCUUGUCGCUAUUUCAUUUUGAUUUACUCUUGAUCAUUUAUCUACAAUCUCUCGAUCAUAUUAAUUUGCUUUCCUUUAAAUGCUCAUAUAUUUAUCUUCGUCAGUGGACAGAGCUCACUGCUGUAACAAAUAGCAGGACAACCCUUGGCUUUUAUCUCCAUCAAGUCAUCCCUUCACUGCACAAGGUCAUUGUUGCUUUCUUUCUCUACUACUCUUUUCUCACUGGUUAGGUUAAACAACUGAUUUAAUUAUUGCUGCUCUUACAUGGCUGCCAGGUGUGUGAUUCAAUUGAUUUGAUGAUGACUUUUUAUGUGGUCAGCUUGAAACUGACGCAAUAGUUGUAGCGAUUGAUUAUAAAGGCUGAGGUCAAUGCCAUCAACAUUUCUACCCACACGUGCCUGCAGAAUUAUCUGAAACAAAACACAAUACCAGUGUAUGUUAACAACAAAUUGAAAUGAGAGGAAUGGGUGGGGAGACAAGGAAGAGAGGGAGAGUCAAAGUGACCAGUGCAGCAAACCCAUGAAUGAAUUAUUUCAGUCUUACCUCAUUAUCAGAUUGAAUAUGCAGUUCACCGAUGAACUGGUAGAUGGAACCAAUUCGGAAGCUAAGGUUUCUCAAGUGUUGGGUGUCAAUCUUCAGAAUAGCAUUUCCAUCAACAAUUAUAGCUAUGGCAGUUUCCACAGAAUAUUCUUGUAACCUGCAGGAGAAACAAAAGAUUUUCUAACAUGUUGCAGCAUAAGAUAAUGAACUAACAAUAUAAAAGCGUAAAUUACACAUGGUUGAACUGCUAGACUCUCCUAAUAGGACAAACAUCCCAUAGAUGAAACUCACAAUGAAUGGAAGUCGCCAUUUGUUUCAAAUAAUUUAAUCUGUNNNNNNNNNNNNNNNNNNNNNNNNNNNNNNNNNNNNNNNNNNNNNNNNNNNNNNNNNNNNNNNNNNNNNNNNNNNNNNNNNNNNNNNNNNNNNNNNNNNNNNNNNNNNNNNNNNNNNNNNNNNNNNNNNNNNNNNNNNNNNNNNNNNNNNNNNNNNNNNNNNNNNNNNNNNAUUUAUCAGCCAUCAUUAGAUUUCUCUAACCUAAUACUAAUAUUUCUGGCAUGUAGUCGGUUCCUAUUAAAGUCAUGUGAAGGAAGACAAGGAUUUUUUGAUGUAGGUGCUGAUUUGAUGUGUAAUGUUCCUUGGACAAACAACUUCAAUACCUCAGAAUAUGUGUUAGGCAUACCCUUCAAAUCAAUUCUGUCCAACACUCUGCUGCAACGACCGAUGCCAUCGCUUAUUCCCCUUGCUGCAACAUUGCUCCCUUUUCCCAUAGAAUUACUACCACCUAUACCAUGCCACCAAAUCCCAUAAGAUCACGACUGCAAUUUGGCUCUUCCAAUUAUAAAUUUAUUAUCAUAAUCUAAACCUAUAUAGCAAGUGCAUUUGCCCCCAUGUCUCAUCUUUAUGACCAUGUCCUCUACCUCAUCCGAACCUUUGAGACUACCACCAACAAAUAACUUUUAGACUUUAGUUAUCACCAUAUCACCUCAAAAAGCCCUUCCUUGAGGUUCCUCUCCAAACAUAUCCAACAAAAAUAAAACCACAUUAUUAUCAAUAUCAUUACCCAACACACAAACUUCCAUCAUUAUUUUAAACCACCAUUUUCAUUUCAAUCUCACAUGUUUUCUCUCCAACAAAUAAAACCACCAAUACAGAUUCUCAAAUUAAUUACACUUUCUUCCAACAAGGGAAAACUGUCCAACUUCUAUGUUAGACUAUAUCUACUACAAGCAUUACAAAAAUCCUACAAGAACACAAAUAUCAAAAAUCACAGUACAAUGCAAUUGGGGAAGGAAUGUAACGAAGUAGGUAUAUAAUAGUUAAAUAAUAAUAAUAAUAAUAAUAAACUGAUACGAACAUUAGAAGGGCUUAAGACCUUACUUUCCAGUGAUUCUAAGUGAUGCUCCUUGCUUAAAGAAAGGUGAUGAUGGUUGCAAAUCUUUCAACAUCACCAAUUCCCCAUGUUUAAUUGCAGGAAGUGCCAUUAAACCAACACUACUCACCCCCAAAGGCAGCUGAAUUCUACCUGCAAAUUAAGGAAUACAAUGAUACAAAAGAAAAUACAAAAUGACCAACAUAUCUCAAAACACGAGUUAUACAUUGUAGAAAACCAAAAAACUUUCAUCAUUUACUUUCAGAACAACAAUGUAGGAAACCCAACAAAACCUCAGAAUUAAUACCAUUUCAAAAGCAUAGUCAAGCAAAUUUAUCCACAAACCACAAAUCACAUAAACUAUCUCAAAAUUAAGCAUUCAAAUUACCAUAAAUCACAUAAACUAAAUUAUGGCUGUCCCAACUCCUAAGAAUCCAUAUCAAAUAUAGUUGAAACAACAAACCCUAAGGAAUUGGCAAACAUUUAAAUCAAAUAAUUCGACAUCAACAAGUGAGUAAAAUAAUCAACUGAAAUAGACACAAUAACACUGAAAAGAAAGUUGUUAAUUUGCAAUUGAAGUUUACCCAUAUAUCAAAAGCAAUUCUAAGCAUUCGUUCAACUGAGAACGAAAGGAAGAGGGAGGAAGCAAAACGGAAAAAAAAAAAAAAAAUGAGAAUGAAAUCAAAAAAAAAUCAAGAACGAACCUGUGGCUGAAAAGCACUUGUACGCUUGAAGAGCACGAGCUGCGGAGGCGAUGGCCAGGAACGAAAGCAACGGGAAGGUAUCUGGCAGUAUAAGUGCAGAAACGAGCGGCGCAGGGAAGGGAGGGAGGAGAAAAUACGUUCGACUUGAGUUGAGUUUGAGAGAACUUUCCCUUUGUAUGAGUAAAUUCCAACCCUAGGCUAAAACGACGUGAUUUUGGUUCUGGAUUCAUUUAAACCUCCUACAUCAAAAUUACGUCGUUCGUCGUUUUGAUGGUAAAAUAAUCAUUUUUAUUAUUAUUAUUAUUAUUAUUAUUAAAGUUAUUAUUAUUCUUAAAGUUACUAGUGUUCAAGAACGUGUGAUACACGUUUUUACUCAUUGAACAUACCCGUAAAAUGAUUAUUUAUAAUUUAUUUUUUUUAUAUAUUUUUAUUAAUUUUUAUAAAGACAAUAUAAAAAUUCAAUAUUUUUAGUUACAAUUAUUAUAUGUAUAAAAAUAUAUAUGCAAACCACUAUCAUACAUAGUUAUAAUUAUUUGAUGAAAAAUUUUAAUAAUUGUUUAUAAUAGAUUUUUUGACAAAAUGGAAUAGUAACAAAGUUGAAAAUAAAUAACCAUUUGAUCCAAGAUUUUGUCAUACAUAAAAAUAAAUACAUAUAUAAAUUAUUAGUAAUCAAAUUUAAAAUUUUUUUUGCGAUAGCAUACCAAAAAAAAAAAAUAAAAAGUUAAAAUUAGGACCUUAGCCAUUAAUAACAAUACAGUCAGAAGCUUUCAAUAUAGCAAUAGCAAAGAAACUUAUAAUAGUAGAGAGUCUUUAAUGAAUUAUUGAUAAUAAAAGUAAAAAAUCUUUAAUAGUAGCCAAAGAAAAUAUAGUUAUUUGAUAAAUUAAAUUUUCAAUUGAGUUAUAAUUUAAACCUUUAUCCUUUAUUAUCAUAAUAAUAGAUGUAAUAUUAAAUCAAAGUAUAAUAAAUUUUUAAAUUAAAAAUAUGGAACAACUUAAAAAAAAAAAAAAGAAGUGUUAAAUAUUAAAAAAAUUACAAUCAUGAUUUAAAUAAAUUUUUAUAAAAAAAUUUAAUAAAUUUAUCCUAAUUUAAAAUUGAUAAAGAAAUUUAGAUUACGGAUAAAAUAAUUAAUACCUUCAAGAGAAUAAUAAGGCUAAAAGUAGCUAAUAAUAUUAACAAAGUAAACAAAAUGAAAUAUGAAGAAAAGAAAAUAAUUUCAAUUUAUAAUUUAUAAAUUUGAUUAUUUUUAGAUUUUUAUAUAAAAUACUUAAGUCAUUUUCUAAUAAAACUAUAAAUAUGAUUGAUUUAAUAUUGGAUUCAAUCAAAACUUCUAUAAUAAGAUUUUUAUUCCUAAUUAAGAUUGGAUAGAAAUUUUCAGUUACCUUUUCUAAUAUAUAUUUGAUUUAAUAUUAAUAAAACAUAUAUAUAGAGGAAGUUAUAAUUAUACUUAUCGCAAGAAUAAAAAAUGAUUGUAAAUUCAAUAAUUCCAAAUUAGCAAAACUUGAUAAAAUAACUUGAUAGUCAAAAGCAAUAAAUUCAUUAUAGUCAAGAGUAACAAAUUCUUGAUGGUCAAAACUCAAAAGCAAUAAAAACCAAACGUAUACAGUGGUAUGAUAGGAUAAAAUCCUAAUUAAAAUAGUAUUAAAGUUCAAAUUCCUAAUUAGAGUUGGAUUAAAUUUAUAAUAUUAAUAUAAUAAAAGUAAUAAAUUGAUAUCAUAAUUAGAAUAGAAUUAAAGUUAAAUUCCUAAUUAGUAGGGAUGGCAACAAGUGGGGUUCAAGUCGAGUAGUGCAAUACCCAUGCCCAAACUCAAUCUCAUCCUCAAUCCUCAUACCCUAUUGGGUAGGAUUGAAUGCUAUACCCAUUCCAAAAUCCAAUAGGUUUGGAUAUAUCCACAAGUAUCCAUUAUCCGUGGGUGCCCAUGCGUAUCCAUUAUCCACAGAUACCUAUUUAUCCACAGAUACCCAUUUAUCUACAAACUCAUAUUUUGUAAAAAUUAAAGUAUAUUGAAUUAAAAAAAUUAAAGUGUUUAUUUAGAUGGUUUAUAUAAUACAUAAAAAAUGUGAAAAUAAAUUAAUAUAUACAUGAAUGUUCUCAUAAUUGUAAAUUAAAAUUUUAAUUCCAAAGUUGUUCUUCUUGUCAUAAUACUUCACUCAAAUGUAAUAGUAGCAUACUCUUCAAGUGUAAUUAUAAUAAAAAUCAAUUAAUAGAAUAACUAAAAAUAUCAUAUAACAAAAUUAUUAAACGUAAAAUAUUAUUAUAUGAACACUCUAAAUCCCCUUUCAAAAAAAAAAAAAAAAACACACUCUAUAUCAUUAUUGUCAUUAUGAUUUUUAUCCAUUAUUUCAAAUUGAAGUUUAAAUUAAAUAUUAGAAAUUAAAUUUUAAAUUUCAAAAUCUAAAAUUUUAAAAAUUUGAUCAAUUCAAAUUCAUAAAUGAAAACUAGAGUGAAAUUAUUUUACACUAGACGACAUUAAAUCAAAAGUAAAAUUAUAAUUUAUAUAGAUAAUUUAUUACAAGUAACCCAAUUUAUUAAAACCUUCAUACUAUAAUUUUAAAAAAAUAUAUUAAAAUUUUAAAUCUCUGGGGUUUGAAUUUUGAGUGUAGGAUCGAGUUCGGGUUUAUAAUGCAAUAUCCAUACCCUACUUGUAUCCAAAAUAAAACUAUUGGAUUUUAACUAUAUCCUAUCCAAAACAAGUCAAAACCCUAAAAUUCGGGUUUUUGACUUGGUUCGGUUGGGUGCAUACCCAUCGGGUCGGGUUGAUUUUGUCAUCCCUAGUAAUUAGAAUGAGAUUAAAUUUAUAUUAUUAAUAAAAAAGAUCUACCAAUAAGGGAUUAAUAAAUUUAAAUAUCUUAUGUUAUAAUAUAUUUAAAUUAUAAGAUAUUAAAUCGUAGUAUUCUUAUAUGUAUAGAAAUUCCAAAAGUUUCCUAAUUAGAAAACGACUAAAUUAUUUUUAAUGAUAUUUUUAAUUAAUCAACUAAUAGAAUACCAAUAUAAUUAAGAGUUUUCUAAUUAUAAUAAGACUAAAUUAUUCUUCAAUCAACCAAGAAAAUUAAAAGUCUACAAGGGCGUUGUAGAAAUCCAAUGUUCCCCCUCUUUCGCACUUUUAUGUAUAGAUAUUUUGGAAUUCCUAUACAUGCAAAAAAAUUAUGAUUUAUUAUAUUAUAAUUGGACCAUUGAAAUUUCCACGGCUAUCUUACUUCCAUUGAAAUACUUGAAACUAAAAAAAUAAAAAAUAAAAGAUAUUAUCUUGAUAAAUAUUAAUCUUACAAUCCAAAUAAAAUUUAAAAUUUUAUUAAUAAAAUAUAAAAUAAAAGGAAGGAAGAAAAGAGAAAAGGAAGUGCAAGCAUACAAAGGAUGUGACAGAAAAGAGAUAUUGUUAUGUUCCAAAACCGUGGGCAGGACCAAUACUAGGGCCUGGCUGGGUUAAGGCCUCCUAGGCCCGUAGUAAGCCUAAAUCAGUUAAGCUCAAUCUUUUCACUGUUAUCGCUUGAGGCCAAAAACCAUAUUCUUAUAAUCAAGGCUCGAUUUGAUUAUGCACAAACGUAUUGAAAAUACAAAAUUAUAUAAUUAAUACAUAUAUCCACAUCAUUCAAUUACAACUACAAUUGCAGAACUCUAUAAUCUACAAUCUUUUACAUUUACAUGCUUAACACAACCAUUAAAAUUUUCUUUUAUUUGCCUAUCAACUCAUUAGGAUCCGUAGAGUUCUUCUUUCCUUCAGUUACCUAAAAAAAUAAAAGGCAGGGGUGAACGCCAAACUCAAUGAAUAAGGUUAGAUAACCCUCUCACUCCAUACAGUUACACAUAUGAUAAUCAUAUUAUACAAUCAGUAGCCCUCCGACUAGUUAUAAAAGAACAAGCAAGUAUGACACAGAGUCCUGUGGUUUCUACGCCAACCACAAAGCGUUUGACCAAUAUACGUCCCGUCGUUGUUUCGUUAACCUGAGAGUUACAGUUACGAAUAAAAGAUCAUGCAUCGAAUAUCACCAUCCAUAGCGAGACAUAAUUGCCACAUGAGCAUUGCAAUGGCAGAGAGAAUGAAUACCAUCACCAACAAUGAGAAUCAAUGCCAGCAAUUCUGGAACUUACCUUCUCAGAACAUCAUCUCCCUCUUUGUCCAAACUUCCCCUGCCACUCACUAUCUUCAUAUCAUAACGAUCUUACCAAAACCAGUGGCUAUCCCAACCAUUCACGACAACAAGGCCGUCUUUUCUUGUCGCUAUUUCAUUUUGAUUUACUCUUGAUCAUUUAUCUACAAUCUCUCCAUCAUAUUAAUUUGCUUUCCUUUAAAUGCUCAUAUAUUUAUGUUCGUCAGUGGACAGAGCUCACUGCUGUAGCAAACAGCAGGACAACCCUUGGCUUUUAUCUCCAUCAAGUCAUCUCUUCACUGCACAAGGUCAUUGUUGCUUUCUUUCUCUACUACUCUUUUCUCACUGGUUAGGUUAAACAACUGAUUUAAUUAUUGCUGCUCUUACAUGGCUGCCAGGUGUGUGAUUCAAUUGAUUUGAUGAUGACUUUUUAUGUGGUCAGCUUGAAACUGACGCAAUAGUUGUAGCGAUUGAUUAUAAAGGCUGAGGUCAAUGCCAUCAACAUUUCUACCCACACGUGCCUGCAGAAUUAUCUGAAACAAAACACAAUACCAGUGUAUGUUAACAACAAAUUGAAAUGAGAGGAAUGGGUGGGGAGACAAGGAAGAGAGGGAGAGUCAAAGUGACCAGUGCAGCAAACCCAUGAAUGAAUUAUUUCAGUCUUACCUCAUUAUCAGAUUGAAUAUGCAGUUCACCGAUGAACUGGUAGAUGGAACCAAUUCGGAAGCUAAGGUUUCUCAAGUGUUGAAACCGACACUAUCACACAACUGAUUACUUGCAACAUCCCGAAACCAACGAAGAUCAUCCAUCUGAGCUAACGCUUACUGUGACAGUGCUCGCAGCCACUGUCCCCAAGCCCUGUCAAUCACUCCUUCCGGCAAGGAAAAUAGCUUUUCACAGUAGGCUUCAUUGUGGCCCAGGCAUCCACACAAAAAAUAGAAAAUCGGCAACCUCUCAUACUUAAAAUUAAUAGUUUUCAUUGAGCCAUCACCAUGUCUCACCUUCUUCCACCUCUUCAACGGCUUCCUGUGUUCAAACGAACCCGAAUACACAUGUAUGAUCGCCAUGACCUAUAGUUGUUUAGAUCGUACUCUAAGAAAGUUCUGAUGAAAUCACCAAACUGUUUGCCUACAUCCUCAGGCAUAACCCCCAUUGGCAAAUCAUAGACUUGAACCCAAAAGGGAGUGAAGAAAAAUGGGAGACUCUUUGGAUCGUCCCCUCACAAACCUUCUCCAGUGAUAGAGUAAUAAGUUAAGAUAAUAUUUACAAUUUAUUUGUAUUUAAUAUUAGCUAUAUUUGUAACUGUCACUAAAAGAUAUACAUGUAAAUUGCAAUAUAUUGUACCUAUCAUACAAUACAGAAUACAAAAAAGGAUUCUCAAACGUGUAAACCUCCAGAUGGUAUCAGAGCUCUAAGGCUACACGGCAUCUUCUCAUCUUUCUUUCUGUAAUUUUGUAUUCCUUCUUCAUCUUUAUUCAAAAAAAAAAAAAAAAAGUAUGGGGACAGAGCCAGCUCUCACCUCUACUGUUUCUGCACCUGCUUCUUUUUCUUCUGUCCAAGCUCCCAAUAUAACUCAGUUCAUCUCUUUGAAAUUGACCUCAGCUAAUUAUUUGCUGUGGAAAUCCCAAAUUCUUCCCCUUUUGUAUGGGUAUCGACUUGCUGGUUAUAUCGAUGGAUCUAAGCCUGCUCCUUCUCAGUCGCUUGACAAUGGUGACCCCACCUCAGCGUAUAAUGAUUGGCUUUGUCAAGAUCAAAUAGUCAGAAGCUGGAUCAAUUGUUCCGUUUCUGAAUCCCUCUUAAAUCAGAUUGUGUGUUGUACUUCUGCCAAGGAGGCGUGGGAUAAGCUUGCUACGGUUUAUUCAACAGGCUCUCAAACAAGGGAUGGAGGCGAGUUGGACGAAUAAUGGCCUUUUACUCACUCAAAAUAAGUACAUACAGGACUUACUUGUUAAGGCUGGUAUGACUAAUUGUAAGGGCCUUUCCUCACCAGCCACUACAAAAGAAUCGACUACGGAUGCACAACAAACUCCCUUUUCCGAUCCUACACUCUAUCGAAGUAUAGUUGGUGGCCUGCAGUAUCUAAAUCUGACACGACCUGACGUAUGUUAUUCAGUUCAUAAAGUGUCACAAUUUCUUCAAGCACCGACCGAGGCUAACUGGUCUUCCGUCAAGCGAAUUUUAAGGUACUUGAAAGAUACUGCAACGUGUGGUUUAUUUUUCACCAAAUCCUUGACAACCAACUUGAAUGUUUAUUCUGACGCUGAUUGGGCGAGUAGUUUAGAUGAUCGCAAGUCUACCACAGGUUAUGCUAUCUUUAUGGGUUCUAAUCUCAUUUCAUGGAACUCCAAGAAACAACAAACUGUGGCAAAAUCAUCAACAGAAGCUGAAUAUAGGGCUAUCGGACUUGCCGUUACUGAAUUGUCAUGGGUCCAAGCUUUGAUGCGAGAUAUUGGUUAUAGUUCAACAGUCACACCGAAUUUAUGGUGUGACAACAUUGGUGCCACGUAUUUGUCAGCAAAUCCUGUAUUUCAUGCCCGUACUAAGCAUUUAGAAGUGGAUUUUCAUUUUGUCCGUGACAAAGUCAGUAAGCGAGAAUUACAGGUACAAUUUAUUUGUUCGAAAGAUCAACUAGCUGACAUUCUGACGAACCCUCUACCUCAGAUUAUGCCUUAAUGCACAGUUUGACAAUUCGAAGCUUCAUUCCGCAAGCUUGAAUUGAGGGGGCCUGAUAGAGUAAUAAGUUAAGAUAAUAUUUACAAUUUAUUUGUAUUUAAUAUUAGCUGUAUUUGUAACUGUCACUAAAAGAUAUACAUGUAAAUUGCUAUAUAUUGUACCUAUCAUACAAUACAGAAUACAAAAAAAGAAUUCUCAAACGUGUAAACCUCCAGAUCCAGCACCAAAAGAUGAUUAUUAAAAGACUAGGGCCCCCCAUUCCAAACCCUAUUUAGACCAACAAUGUGAAAAAACUGGAAAAGAAAAACUCGAUAGGCAACCUCACUAACAUGAAUACCCUUGCCAGGUCUCCAAAGAUUUGCCAUAGAAUCCUUCAUAGCUUCAUAAUUAACCUUUUGAUUCGUCAAUGGCCUCCCAACCAGACAGAGGUCAUAAUUGGGUUGUUCAGUCAAUUGGCUUCUGUAUUGCAACUGCAUCUUAGCUUCCUCAUCAUCUGAUGGCACAAGACUAGCUAUCGUUUCAUGCUCACCAUAAGCAGCACCAUGACUUUAGACGCCAUAGAUAAAAAAACUCAUGCACAAAGUAAGACACCCUCACAUGCAAGACAAAUAUGAAAAAGAAAAAAACCAUAACUUGAUUUGGCCCUAAUACAUAAAAGAAAAUUUCAAGCUUUAUUAAAGGUAAACUGGACAUUUUAUUACAACUAAAUGGAAAAAUUUAAUUGAAGAACUAUUUAUUUAAAUAGCUACAAAAUAAAAACAUUAUUUAAUUAUUUUUUUAGAAUAGAAGGCAUAAAAUAAUUAAUAUGAAAUUUUGAAAAUAUCAGCUCACUAACAUAGUAUAUAAUUGAGGCACGUGUAUAAAAAUGCAUAAAAUGAGAAUUGAACCCAACGUUAAUCAAACAUGCAGCCCUCUAAUCUAGAGUCAAACGUGCUACCAUUGCGCCACAAAUCCAUGCAUAUUAAAGUAAACAUUAUAAGAUUAAAGAUUAAUUACCACCCUAUUUAUUUGUAAAUUUUUUUCAAAUUUAAAUAAUUUAGAACAUUCUAAAUAUUUUUUUUAUGAAAAAUUGGGCUUUUUAUCCUUUUGGUGCAAAUUCAGGAGCAAAUUAUAUAAAAAGUUAAUUUUUAGGCAACCUGAACAUUACUCCAAGUUCAGGAAAUAAAUUUACGACUUUAGGAAGUCUAAACUCAACAUUAGACAGCCUAAAGUCCUCGAACUAUAAAUCUCUUAGUUGCAACCAUGCUGCCUAAAUUGAAUUUUAGGAAGCCUAAAAAUGAAAAAAAAAAAAAAAAGAAAAAAAAUCAAUAACUUUUGUUAUAAAAUUCUGUUUUCAAAUCCGUUUGAUCCGAUGGAAAUCAUAUUCAACCAAUUAUUCGAAAACAUGAAUUUUUAUGGCAAAACUAUUUAAAAAUAUUCGUUUUCAAAAAUAUUUUUCCACCCAAAUGCAAUAUUUUUAAAAUGUGUUUGUCCAAAGCUGAAAUUUUAUUUGAAAAUAAAUUGUCAAUUUUAAAAUGGUGAUCGACUCAAAUGAUUUUUCAAAUUAAAAUUGUAAGAUCAUCAAAUAUACUUAAGGUGAAUUCCUAGAAUUGAACCAUCAAUUAAUUAGAGCAAUACCUUAAAAGAAGAAAUUCUAAGAAACUUAUAAUUGAAUUGUAGGCUUCAAGUAGCUUGUAUUUGUAACUUGUAUUUGUAUUUGUAUAUUUAAAUUGGAUUUGUAUAAUUGAAUUAUAAGCUGUUGAUGUUAAUUUUCUUGAAUCAACCUGCUAAUCAACAAAUAGUAAUUAAAAUUAAUUAGCAGAAUAACAAUUAUUUGUUAUUAUGUAGGUUUUAUGUAGUGGGAUUGGAAAUUUUGUUUUUUUUUUUUAAAAAAAAAAAAAAAUUGUUUUCUACUAGAACUCGAAAUCUUUUUUUUUUUUUUCAUAAAAAGAGAAAAAUUCAAGAUAAAAUAAAUAGCAACGUGUAUAGAAACAACCAAAAUUUGAAAAUCUAUGCAAAGUACGAGUUCCAACUGGGAAAUGGAUAUCAAAAUAAUCCUAGAGAGUCAAUUUAUCGAGCUAAAAUAAAAUAAUAAUAAUAAUAAUAAUAAUUUGACUAAUUUUUAGAAGAAGCAAUACGUAAGGUUGACGUUAAUACCCUUCUUUGUUAUAACAGAUGGCCCUGCAGAAGACCCUGAGAUGAUCAAUACCAUAUUUAAGACAAACAGAAUUCUCAUAUCAUAACUCAAAACCCAUAAUAUAUGUCUCUUACCAAACAUGAUCUUGGUCAUCAUAUCUGUAGCGUGGUUGAAUUCCUGUUCGGAAAAGGAAGUAGAAAACAAAAUGCAAGCCUAUACAUGUUUUCCAGCUGGACACAUUAAACUUAAUUAAUGUUUCUUAUAUGUCAAAGUCAUGAAAUAUUAAAUUUUGUUUCUUCGAUGGUUAAUUCACAUCUGAGAGAAGGGUGAUUGCAUUUAUUGCGGUAUUUAAUUAUCUUCUACCGUCUCUUCCCUCGCUAACAUUUUGAUUAAAAAUAUAUAUUUUACGAACUUUUGUAUAUUUGGUUAAAUCUGAAAUUAGAUGUGGAAAAUGGCUUUUUAGAAAUAUAUUUUUAACCGUCUGCGUGAGAAAGCUAAGAAGAAAAAUAUCUUCUGCAGCCUUCAGCUAUCGAAGUAGGGGUGGCCACCACGGUUCCAGUUCCAAAACUGAACCGGAAACUGAGGGUUUCAGUUACAGUUUGAAACCGAAUCAGAACUGGUGAUUUCAGUUACGAUUUGAAAUUGAACGGUUACGGCUCCGGUUCUUUAACGGUUUCAAAAUCGAUGAUUCCAGCCAGUUCGAUCAGUUUUCCUGCGAAUCACAUAAUUAUAAAAUCAAAAAUUAAGGAAUAUUUUUUUAUUCGAAAUUUAAAACUUAAAUAUUUAUGAAAUACUUUUUAAAAAAAUUUAAGAAAAAAUUCAAAAAGGCUUGAAUUUAAUUUAAUUUUUUUUUUAAAAAAGCCUCAACUUAAUUUUUUUUUUUUUUAAAAAAAAAAUUAAGUUGUCUAUGUAUCCUCUUAGGGUUUAGAAGAAUCAAAGCUGACGUAGUUCUUACUUACCUUGUACCAAUAUCACCCUUUUAUCUUAGUCAUUAUUUUCACCGGUUGAUGUUUCCAUUGAGAACCCAUCAUAAAAAUUGUAUAAGUCUUCAUUUUCUUUGAUAAUCUCUUGUGCUCUUAGUUUGACUGUGGUCCAAUCAUCCACGCAUGAUUACACUUCUACUGAAUCAAGUAUUAUCCUAAAUCGAAUUUCAUCAAGUUUGUUUUCUCAUUGACUAAAAUCUUGUUCAACCGCAACAAUCGAGACUAGUGCUGCUAAAACUUAUUUUGCAAUUAGUGCAAAGGUUGGAAAUAUAUUGGCAUGACAACUCCAACAAUCUAAAAUCGGAAAGUUGUUACCUGCGAGUAACUAUUACCAAAUCAAGAACAAUGAUAAGAUAACUCUCAAGUUUAGGAAUAGAACGAGAACUGGAUCCCCUAUGUCUUUUUUGUCUUUGUAAUAAUAGAUGUUCAGCAACAUAUAUUUUUUGGUUGCCAAUGAUUGAUUAUGAACUUGAGAACAAUCAGAAGAAGUAGAUGAACCAGAAUAUUGAAUAAAUUCAGUAUAUAAAUCUAUAAUAUUUUUUUAACUUCAUUUAAUACUACAUUUACAUUAACACUAUCUUCUAUAUCAAGAUUUAAUAUUUCAUAAUAAAAAGUCAAAUAAUCAGAUAAAAUUUUAAAUUUACAUCUACGAUCAAAUACACAAGCAAUAAGAAAAAGGAAUGGUAUAUUUUUAAAAUAAACUAAUCAUUUUUGUUUUAUUAAUAAAACACAAUUUUUUAAUAAAAUAUCAUUUUCAAAUUCUGGAAAUGCACUAAUAAUAUUAAUGCAUAUAGGCAAAAAUAAAUGAGCUGUGAGAUUAUAAACCUCACUAAAAGCGUAUGUUACAUCAUUAAAAUUUUCAAAAUAUCCAAAAUUUUUGCACAAAUCUCUCAAUUUUAUAGAUAUAACUUAAUUUAUCCAACAUUGUUAGUAAAAAAUGUGCAAAAUAAUUCUCUAUAUGAAAAAGACUCGUUUAAUAAUUUAUAUAUUGUUGGACAUCUUUUGCAAAACGUUUUGGUCUUCUCUUAUUUUCCUUAUAAAAUUUAUUCCAACUUUUCAUUACUUGGAAUGUCUUGAUAAAUAUGAAAUAGAUUUUCUAAUUGGAGAAAUAAAUGAUUCAAAAACUUGUAAACCAUCUUGUACACAUAAAUUUAAAACAUGAUAUGCAUAUCUAAAAUGAAAAAAUUUUUCACCAACAUUUGGUUCAUAAAUUGCUUUAAGCUCAGUAAUUGAUUUAGUGUUGGCAAAGGAAUUAUCAAAUAAAAUUGAAAAUUUUUUUUUGGGUAAUUUAUAUUCAUCUAAAAUUGAAACAAUCAUUUUAUAUAUAUAUUAUUUGUGGUAUGUUUAUCAUCAAAAAUAUGACAUACAAUAAUUCUUUUUUGUAUUUUUCAAUCGUCAUCAAUCCAAUGACAUGUAAUACUUAUAUAAGAACGCAUUUGCCAAUAAUCAUUCCAAAUAUCACAACAAAUUGAAACAUGAAUUUUUACUUCAAAACAUAAAAGUUCUAACUCUCUUCUUCCUUUUUUUAUCUAGAGAAAUAACAGUUCGUUUUACAAUAUUUCUUGGAACUCUUUUUUUUUUUUUCUUUUGAUAGAGUAAAACUCAUAGCCUUUCAUUCAUUAUCAUUAAUCUCGGACAAACAAUGAGGAAUAUAAUUCCAGAUACGUAGAUGCGCAAAGCAAAUAGAAGCUCGAGCUAGGGUAUGAGCUUUUAAGUUCGCUUGCCUACGAAUCCAUCUACACAAAACCAAAGGGAGUUCUAAAAAAAAGUUCUCACAAUCAGAAAACAUACUCCCCCCAUCCGAUCUAAAUAAAAUAGAGGAGCUCAAAGCAAAAAAUGAAACCUGCGAGUCCAUGAAAAUAGUACCUCCACGCUCAACAUAAUUUUGCUUGAGAAAUAAUAAAAAACUACGAAGAGCUAGAGCCUCUGCAAUAAAAGGGUCCGUACCACCUGUAAAGUGGCCUGAAACUGCUCGAAUAAAAAUGCCUUCCUCUGUCUCCAUCACCACUCCAAAGCCUUGCAUGCCUUCUUGCUCAAAAACCACAAAAGCUUGCCAUGAUUGGUCUCCACUGUUGCUAAGAUGUCCGGGUUGAAAUAUUGCAAGCCUUUGCCGACUUGUAUUUGAGGAUGCACUAGCCAUGCUCCUUUGCGCCAACUUUGUAUGUUCCCAACUAAUCAUGUAUUCUUUUNNNNNNNNNNNNNNNNNNNNNNNNNNNNNNNNNNNNNNNNNNNNNNNNNNNNNNNNNNNNNNNNNNNNNNNNNNNNNNNNNNNNNNNNNNNNNNNNNNNNNNNNNNNNNNNNNNNNNNNNNNNNNNNNNAAAAAGAAGUUAGUAAAAGAAAUAUUUAUAUCACCUACUUCAUACCCCCCUUGCCUCCAAACUCCCUUAGCCUUACUACAUAACACUAUUGCAUGAUUAAUAUCCUCUUCCUCCCCACACCAAGGACAUCCAAUAUCAACCUCCACCCCUCUCCUUCUCAAUCUCUCCUUCGUAGGCAACACAUUCCUUAGAGCCCUCCACAUAAAAUCUUUGUCUUUAGGGGAAGCAUCUAAACCCCACAUCUUACCCCACCAUCCACCAUCCACCUUCCACCUCAUGCACCCUCCCCCUCAACAACCUCCUUGCCACGUAGUACCCCGACCUAACGCUAUAAAUGCCUUUUUUANNNNNNNNNNNNNNNNNNNNNNNGUUAAUACUAAUAGGAAUCCCUAAUAUAGCUCUAAACUCUCUCAAGCUAAAAAGAGUCAUCACCUUCCCCACAUCCCAUCUCCCUUCCCCCUCCACAAAAAGCUCCCUCACUUUCAUAUUAGGAUCAACAAAGUCCCUAGUGUCCUCCAUCCAAAAACUAUGAUCCAGAGGCAUCCACGGAUGUGAUAAUACACCGAUAGUUUCCCCAUUCCCUACUCUCCACCGUACCCCCUGUUUUAAUACCCCAAUAGCAACAUGAAUACUCCUCCACACAUAACUAGGACGCCUACCAAGAGGAGCAUCCAAAAAAUCCCUAUUAUGGAAAUAUUUGGCUUUGAAAAGUUUAGAAAAAAGAGCAUCGGGCUCCGUCAUAAGAUGCCACCCUUGCUUCACUAGCAUGGCCAUAUUAAAACAAUGAAGAUCCCUGAAACCCAUACCACAUUCCCUUUUGCUACAACACAUCCUCUCCCUCGCUAACCAAUGAAUCCCUCUACGCCCUCCUUUCUUCUCCCCCCACCAAUACUUGUUCAUCCUUUUUUGCAUCGCUUCACAUGUAGAAAGAGGUAUUUUAAACACACUCAUACAAUAAGUAGGAACAGCUUGCACAAUCGACUUAAUUAAUACCUCCUUUCCGACUCUAGAGAGGAAUCUGUUAGACCAAUUGCAAAUCCUUUUUUUCAAGUCUGUCCUGAAGGAAGCCAAACACCUGUUUUUUCGAUUUGCCAAUGAGAGAUGGAAGACCAAGAUAAGUACCCCCACCAAUUGAACCAGCAACAUUCAAAAUAGUAGAGAUAUUAGUCAUCAACUCUCUACUCAUAUUCGAGCUGAAAAAGAUACCCAAUUUGUUCAAAUUAAUGGCCUGACUCGAUGCUCUCUCAUAUUUCUUCAAAAUAUCAUUGACCUCCUCUGCUUCCUAUAAAGAACCCUCAAAAAAGAAAAAAGAAUCAUCCGCAAAUAGCAAGUGACAGUGAUUUUUGCAAGUGUACAAAUCACAACAAGUGAUAUAGAGUGAAAGAGUAUCGUAUCCAUAGGGAUUGUGUAUCAAGUACCAAAAUUUUGUUAACCUAUUAUUAUUUAAACGACAAUAAGAGAGAUUUGUUAUAAGGAAAGUAAAUUUGAAAAUUAAACAGAAAAUAUCAAGCAACAAAAUUUAGAUGAAAAGGAAUCAAGGAUUUAAAACUACUAGGGAAUUUGGUUUCACUUAAUUCUAUCCAAUUUAUUUUAUUAGUCUGUUAAUCAAUUUUAAUUGUUCAAGUAGGGGAAACAACCCUAGAAUCACUAACAAGCUCUCUCGAUGUAUUGUUGGCUAUUCUAAUCCGGUCUAAUUACCUAUCUUUCAAUAGCACAAUCAAACAUGAAUUAAAUCAUUAAGUUUUAUGGUUUGUUUUGUGAAUUCACAACCUAAGGUCAUUAACUUGUGAAAACCCCCCAUGAGUCAAACCGUAUAGCUUCCGCAUCAAGUUAUUGUUCUCAUGUAAUUUAUUAUCUUUUUUGUAUCAAAAACCCUUCUUCCGAUAGUGAUUAAUAAAAUAAUUCAAUCCAGGGGAAUAAACUCUGCCUGGAAGCUUUACGUUCAAUAAUAAAGUAUAGCAAGAAUAAGGAAAAGCAAAUCUAAUAAUAUAAUUUGGAAUCGAAUUAAAUUACAUCAAAUCCCUAGCUUAGGAGUUUAGCUAGACAUAGUAAUUAAAUAAAACUCAAUAAUACUUGAAUAAAUCUUCAUAAUCAGUAAUGAACAAUGAAAAUAAAAACAAGAUUAAGAGUUUAGAGAUAAAAACUAGGCAACAACUAUGUAGAUGACUUCCUUGAAUCUUUGCACAAAUCUUGGAUGCUUGAGGUCUUUUAGAGAAAGAGAAUUAUGUAGAAAAUUAUUGAAAUUCGAGAUGCCUCAUAAUGAGAAGCUCUCCUCUUUAUAUAGACCUUCUGGAGAGAAAUCUGACUUUGUUUAGGAAACAGAAUCCUAAUUAAGUACAAAAUCUUCUUUAGGAGAUCAUGACUGUUUAAGCUUUGGAUUUCUUCUUAGUUAGGACUCUUUUCUCUUCCUAAAUAGGUUUAGAUCUUGUUUAGCACGUUUAAGAAAAUAUCCGAGGCGGGCCCAUGUGAGAAAAAGAUUGGCUCGCAUUUUUAGCUUAAGACAACUCUGCCUUCAUAGCACGGGCGUGCCAUAUAGCACAACUUGGGCAUGCUAGAGUCUGGAACUAUGAAUGGUUGAGCACAGGCCAUGCUAUGCAACACGCUCAGAGGAGUCCUUGUGGCACGGGCGUGCCAUUUAGCACAGGUAAGGCGUGCUUGGCUCUGUCCUUCGAAGAUGGAUUUCAUCAUGGGCGUGCUAGGCAAGCACGCCUUGAGUUUCUUUUGGGCACGGGCGUGCCAUUUAGCACGGUCUAGCCGUGCUAUCCCCUGACUUUCCACUUGAUUUUCUUUAGCUUUAGCACGGGCGUGCUAAAAUGCACGGGAUGGGCGUGCUCAAGCCUGAGUAUUUUACUUUGUAAUGCUCUUUUCUGUGCCAAAACCCUGCAAAUUUCUUUCAGAUCAAGUGGAUUAUGAUUCAAAGAAGCUUUCAACAAAAUUAUAAUAAAAACGAAGUAAAAAUAAACUAAAGUGAUAAAUUUUACUAAAAUUCUAAAUAAAAACUAUACUAAAAAAUACUAUAAUUGUGACACCUAUCAAAAUUCCCCAAACUGAAACCAUUGCUUGUCCUCAAGCAACAAAACUAAAAGUAGGAGAACAAAAUAAUCUGACAAAACUAGCUUGCUAUGGUUGGUGAUAAUUAUAAACUCCAAAAGAUAUCACAGUUGUUAAUAUGUGAAUAAAUCAAUUGUUUUCCAUGCUAAUUAUAUUUAAGCGAAAAUUCACUAUUUUUGAUAAAACACAUUCCUUGAUUUAAACAUAAGUUAAAAGGAUUUUCAACACUAAUAUAUAUUCAACUUAUGAUAAAUAUGUUAUGAAUAAUCUACAAAAAUUAUUUAACCUUUUUAAAUAAGAUUUUUAAUAGUUUUAAAUUUAGCAUUCCCAUAUGCAAAAAUUAGUCAUCCCUUCUCCACAAUUGAAAUGCAUAUGAUUUUAAAAGAUCAAAAGGUCUUUAUUUUGGGUUGUAAUGGGGUUUUCGGGGUAUAAUUUUAGCUGAUCAAAGAAAAGGGAUAAAAGAUAGACAAAGGGUGCAAAAGAAUGUAUAAUAUCCUGAUUUCCAUUCUAUCAAAACCAUUUGUUUUAAGGGAGUUUCUGUCUUGAAAUUCUUUACUAGCUUGUGAUAUAGAGAUAUUUUGGCAAGGUCUUUUUGUAAUAUUUUGCUAAUUUCUUCUUUGCACUUAAAUUCCCUAACUUGAAUUCUUUGAUUGAUUGCUUUUUCUAUGGGGUAUUUCUCUUUUGAUAUUUCUUACUUGGUACACUUGCUAGUGUCCAUGAAAUUUUCUCCCUUUUGUCGCUAUGUUUUAAUGAAAGCCAAAUCCUUCAAUUAUACAUUAUUGCACUCAGGGUAAGAAUUGAAAUUGGUUUAAUGGCUAGGUUUAAUAAGGGUGAACAAGAAAAUUUUAUAGGCUUCAAAAUUGGUUGCAAAAGUCAUAUUUUNNNNNNNNNNNNNNNNNNNNAAAUAUGAAGUUCAACAAAGAAUGUCUAAAUCAUCUCUUUCUAAAUGUAAGCAUUUAAAAUUUUUGCCUCAAAGGGAGUUCUAAUUUGUUCUAGGAAUGCCAAGGUUAUAUAAGUUUAGAUUAAACAUGCCUAUAUAUCAUAAAUUUCAUAAAAAUUAGUGUUUAUAAUCUUAGAAACAUAUAGUUAAAUCAAUGAAUCAUGUUAAGUCAAAAAUUUCAAAUUUAGAACUUAAGUAUACUAGAAUAGAAAAUCAACUAAAUUCAUCACAUAUUACUAAUUCGUGACAACCUUCAAGCCUGCUUAUAAUCAUUCUAACCAUGUUAAGCAAAAAUAAAAUUUUAGCUAAAAUUUCCUUCCCCCAAUUUAAUCAAACACAUUGUCCCCAAUGUGUACAAAAUAAAUUGAUUUCCCCAAACUUAUUGCAUUAACAGAAGAAAAGAGAUAAGAAAGUGGAGUAAACAUUACCAAAAUUGUAUUGAAAAAUACAAUAGAGCUGGGUGCUGGAACAUGUCAUAGCUAAAAGUCCAAAAUAAACAUUAAGAGAAAAAAACUACUAAAGAUAUAAUAGUCAAAGUAAAAUCAAAAGAAAAAUUCAACACAAAACAAUCAAUGUAUGGGAAUAAAAUCAAAACAGGAAGAACAAAUAAAGAGUCAAAAUCCAUCAAGGCUCCGGUGGUGGAGGUGGAUGCGGUUGUUAGAGCUGGAUAACAGUCUGGAGUUGGCCUUGCAAUGUAUCCAUACGAGACUCGAGGCUCCCAUGCAUAAUCUCGAUGGAUUGGAAACGGUCUACAAUCAUAAAUUCCAUCCCGUUAAGGCAUGUGUCAAAUAUGUUCAUUCGAGACAUCAUCCUCGCAAGGACUUCAUCGUUGGACAUGCUUGACGCUCCUUGAAAGGAUGGACCAGCACCGAAAGUACCUGCACCAAAAGAAGAACCAAAAGGCGGCGGAUUAUCCUCCUCCACAUCAGCACCACCUGCUGCCUCGGCUUCCUCAUCGUCAGAACUGUCCUCUCAAGCACCUACUACCCGAUAAGCAUCUCCAACCUUUUCGAUCAAUUUCAUGUGGAUCAUGACAUCCAAAUCUAAUCUGGUAACCUUCCCCCCUCCAACACUAUCAUAGAUUGGUCUAGCCGGGUUCCAGACUCGAAAAUACGCAGCAAUGCGGGUCACAAAACACCCUAUCAUGAUAGCCCCUUUAUCUGCUCUAGCCACCUUUGCACAUCUUUGGCAUAGCCAAUACCCAACAUUAAGCAAAACUCCCUGUUCAAUCGCCUAUAUAAAGUAUAAUACAUUCAAGCCUAAAACUUCAUCACUUUCACUCCUUCCAAAAAUAGUGUUAGACAAGAAUGUGUGAAUCUGCCUUAGGGCAGGAUUUCUUAGUUUGGAUGCCUUUGAAUACCUAGGGUUGUAAUUAAUUUCAUCGGUCAAGUCUUUCCAUUAUUGCGUUCAUGAAAAUCCUUAGAUAUUUGGAUUUGAGCGUUUUCCGUGGGGAAUCCAAAAAUAUGGCUAACUUCAUUCACAGAUAAAUCAAAAGUUCUACCAAGAAGCCUAAAGUGAAUUUUGCUUGGGGGAGAGGUAGGCAAAAAUCGAAUGAAAGAGGAAUAAGAACUCAAAAAUUCUAAAGUUAAAGGUGCAUAAACUAGAUCCUUCAUCUCAAUAAACUAUCCCCAUCCUAUAUGCCUAAGUGGUUCUAUCACAGCAUCUCGAAGACCGACUUGCGCUAAGGAAUUUUCAUCAAUGAAUUUAUUGGGAAAAAUAGAGCGAAGGGAUAGUUUAUUGUACCUCUCUUGUUGCUCAGGUGAAGCGAUCUCAAAUGGAGGAGGAGUAGGCGUCGAAGGAGGUGGAAUCGGUAGAGGAGUAGUGGAGGGUCAAGCGAUUGGCCGUUGUCUAGCGGCAACCGAGGAAGCGGGUCUGCUACGCUUGUAUCGAGGAGGCAUGGUGAAGGAGAACGGUGUAAAAAUUUGGUAUGUAGUGUGUUUGAUUUGAGAGAAAAGGGAGAAAAAGAGAGAAAAUUAAAGAGAAAAUUGGGAGAGGAGAGGUUGACGGCUAGGGCGUGCGAGAGGGAAGUGAGGGUUGGUUAGGGCAUGCGCUUUAAAUAGAGGCGCCAUUUAAUGCGCACGUCUGGUCGUGGCACGGGUGUGCUCCUUGGUACGGGCGUGCUCCUUGGCACGGCCAGACCGUGCGCGCUAAUCUUGUUUGGAGGCGGUUAGGGCACGGGCAUGCUAGAGGACACGCUUGGGGCUGGAGGACACGCUUGAGGCGUGCUUGCUUUUGUCCUGCAACAGAAAAAAAAUGAAGCAUACCUGGCACGGUUAGGGCAUGCUCGCCUCUAACUCUCAAAGCAAAAUUUCCCUUCGGAUCGCACGGGCGUGCUACUGGACACGCCUGGGGCGUGCUUGCCUCUGACUCUCAAAGUGGUUUUUCUCCAUUCAUGAGGCACGGGCGUGCUGUGGUGCACGGUCAGGGUGUGCCCGCCUCUGACUCUCUAAGCAAAAUUGGUUUUUAUGGCACACGGGCGUGUCCUGGGACACAGUCUGGGCAUGCUUAGCUAUCAUAUCAUGGCACAGGCGUGCCAUUUAGCACGUCCAGGGCGUGCUGACCUGUGGAUUUUAACUUGAUCCUGAAAAAUUCUGACUAAAGCAAAAGAACAAUUAUGGCGAAAAUUUGGGAAAUUUUAUAAUAGAAAUAAUAGAAAUAAAAUGGAAACAAUAAUUGGAAAAAGAAAGAAAACAACAUGGGUUGUCUACCACAAGCGCUUUUGUUUUAACGUCGUUUAAGCUCGAUGUACUCAACCUAGUUUAGGUCAGACGAGACUGAUGGUAUUCUUGAUAGGAUCAAAGUUGUCAUUUUGAUAAACUUUUAAUCUUUGAGCAUUAACUUUGAAACUUCGAUUAGACUUACCAUCCACUAUUUUGAUGCCUCAUGUGGAAAAAUCUCUUUAAUUGUGAAUGGACCAGACCAUCUGAAGUGCAAUUUACAAGGAAAAAGGUGGAGUCUGGAGUUAUAGAGCAAUACCUGUUGGCCUACUUUUAGAUUCCUCAUGAUAAUGUGCUUAUCGUGCCAUUGUUUGGUGAAAUCCUUAUAUAUUUUGGUGCUCUCAUAAGCAUGGAGGUGCAUUUUAUCCAUCAUAUUCAAUUGUAGCAACCGUUUUUGACCAGCCUCUUUUGCAUUGAAGUUAAGAAAUUGAAUUGCCCAAAAUGCCUUAUGCUCUAAUUCAACAGGAAGAUGACAAGUCUUACCGUAAACCAUGCAAUAUGGAGACAUACCGAUUGGUGUCUUGAAUGCAGUUCUGUAAGCCCAUAGAGCAUCAUCUAGCUUCUUGGACCAGUCCUUCCUUGAUUGUCCAACAGUUGUCUCCAGGAUCUUCUUGAUUUCUCUGUUGGUAACCUCUACUUGUCCACUUGUUUGAGGAUGAUAUGGAGUGCCUACACGAUGAGUAACACCAUAUUUUGCAAGAAGGGAAUCUAAAUAUUUGUUGCAAAAGUGCUUACCUCCGUCCGUGAUUAUUGCUCUAGGAGUGCCAUGACGUGUAAAAAUAUACUUCUUGAUAAACUUCAUUACACUCUUGGCAUCAUUGUUUGGAAGAGCAACAGCUUCUGCCCACUUUGAUACAUAGUCCAUCGCAACUAGAAUGUAUUGGUUGGAGUAUGAUGAUGGAAAAGGCCCCAUGAAGUCCAUACCACAAACAUCGAAGAUUUCGACUUCAAGGAUGCUAUUUAAGGGCAUCUCAUGUCUCUUCGAAAUGUUACCUAGUCUUUGACAGCGAUCACAAAGGCGAACAAAGUUAAAGGCAUCUUUAAACAGGUUACGCCAAUACAAACCGCUUUCUAAUAUACGUGCUACUGUCUUGUUUGCUCCAAAGUGUCCUCCACAUUCCAUUGAAUGGCAAAAUUUAAGAACACUUUCCAUCUCUGUUUACGGUAUGCAUCACCGGAAUAGCUGAUCACUAUAAUAUUUGAACAGAAAGGGCUCCUCCCAAUAGUAGUAUUUGAUAUCAUGGAAGAAUUUUUUCUUUUGUUGAUAGGAAAAGUUGGGAGGGGGAAUUUUGCAAACAAGGUAGUUGACUAUAUCAGCAUACCAGGGGGUUUGUGUAUUUGCCAACAGUAGAAGUUGCUCAUGGGGAAGGUUCUCAUUGAUUUGUAACUCUGUUGUAUCUUCUUCCCCCAAUUCCAGCCUGGAAAGGUGGUCAGCCACAAGAUUUUUGGUUCCCUUUUUGUCGAGAAUUUUCAGAUCAAAUUCCUGCAAUCAAGGCACCCAACGAAUUAGUCUCGGUUUUGCAUCUUUCUUUUCUAGCAAAUAUUUGAUNNNNNNNNNNNNNNNNNNNNNNNNNNNNNNNNNNNNNNNNNNNNNNNNNNNNNNNNNNNNNNNNNNNNNNNNNNNNNNNNNNNNNNNNNNNNNNNNNNNNNNNNNNNNNNNNNNNNNNNNNNNNNNNNNNNNNNNNNNNNNNNNNNNNNNNNNNNNNNNNNNNNNNNNNNNNAACAGCUCCAAUAGCAUGAUCACUAGCAUCACACAUAAGCUCAAAAGGAAGAGUCCAAUCUGGUGUAGUAAUGAUAGGUGCUGAGAUCAACUCCUUCUUUAACCUAUUAAAAGCAUUCAAACACUCUUUGUCAAAAUUAAAAGGAACAUCUUUAAUUAAUAAAUUACAAAGAGGUUUUGUGAUUUUUGAGAAGUCUUUGAUGAAUCUCUUGUAGAAUCCUACAUGACCAAAAAAAAUUUCUUAUUCCCUUCACUGAGUUAGGGGGAGGUAGUUUUUUAAUUACCUCGAUUUUUGCUUUGUCUACUUCAAUCCCCUUUUGAGAGAUCUUAUGNNNNNNNNNNNNNNNNNNNNNNNNNNNNNNNNNNNNNNNNNNNNNNNNNNNNNNNNNNNNNNNNNNNNNNNNNNNNNNNNNNNNNNNNNNNNNNNNNNNNNNNNNNNNNNNNNNNNNNNNNNNNNNNNNNNNNNNNNNNNNNNNNNNNNNNNNNNNNNNNNNNNNNNNNNNNNNNNNNNNNNNNNNNNNNNNNNNNNNNNNNNNNNNNNNNNNNNNNNNNNNNNNNNNNNNNNNNNNNNNNNNNNNNNNNNNNNNNNNNNNNNNNNNNNNNNNNNNNNNNNNNNNNNNNNNNNNNNNNNNNNNNNNNNNNNNNNNNNNNNNNNNNNNNNNNNNNNNNNNNNNNNNNNNNNNNNNNNNNNNNNNNNNNNNNNNNNNNNNNNNNNNNNNNNNNNNNNNNNNNNNNNNNNNNNNNNNNNNNNNNNNNNNNNNNNNNNNNNNNNNNNNNNNNNNNNNNNNNNNNNNNNNNNNNNNNNNNNNNNNNNNNNNNNNNNNNNNNNNNNNNNNNNNNNNNNNNNNNNNNNNNNNNNNNNNNNNNNNNNNNNNNNNNNNNNNNNNNNNNNNNNNNNNNNNNNNNNNNNNNNNNNNNNNNNNNNNNNNNNNNNNNNNNNNNNNNNNNNNNNNNNNNNNNNNNNNNNNNNNNNNNNNNNNNNNNNNNNNNNNNNNNNNNNNNNNNNNNNNNNNNNNNNNNNNNNNNNNNNNNNNNNNNNNNNNNNNNNNNNNNNNNNNNNNNNNNNNNNNNNNNNNNNNNNNNNNNNNNNNNNNNNNNNNNNNNNNNNNNNNNNNNNNNNNNNNNNNNNNNNNNNNNNNNNNNNNNNNNNNNNNNNNNNNNNNNNNNNNNNNNNNNNNNNNNNNNNNNNNNNNNNNNNNNNNNNNNNNNNNNNNNNNNNNNNNNNNNNNNNCAGGCUUGCAGUCUUCUUCCAUCAGGAUCUUAUGCAUGCAUAUACUCGGGCUUAUCCCUUGUAGGUCUGAAAUUGACCACCCUAGUGCUUUCUUGUGCUUUCGAAAAACCUGCAACAACCUUUCCUCUUGAUCAAGCGUUAAGUGAGAAGAAAUAAUAACAGGAAAAGAAUGAUUCUCACCUAAGAAUGCAUGUUUUAAAUGAGGUGGAAGUUGUUUCAGUUCUUGUUUUGGAGGUUCACUUUCUUUCUCAUUCAUGGUGUUUGAUUCAUUAAUGUCAUCUUUAGUAUGCAAAGUGGUUUCCACACAUUCAUCAACAACAUCAAUUCGAAAGCAAUCAUUAUAGUCCAUANNNNNNNNNNCGAUUUAAGAACAUCAAAGACAAUCUCUUCCUGUCCAACCCUUAAAGUUAAUUUACCUUCGUAAACAUCAAUAAAUGCUCUUGCAGUUGCAAGAAAAGGCCUCCCAAGGAUUAGAGAUCCUUCCCUNNNNNNNNNNUCAAUGUCAAGAAUAACAAAAUCAACAGGAAAGAUGAAUGUACCUACCUUUACAAGCACAUCUUCUACAAUUCCUCUAGGAUAUUUGAUCGAUCGAUCCACUAAUUGUAGAGACAUCCUUGUUGGUUUGAAUUCUCCCAUACUUAGCAUCUUAAAAACUUCAUAAAAUAUAAGAUUAAUGCUAGCACCUAAAUCUACCAAAGCUUUUUCAAAGUCAAGAUUACCAAUAUUGCAAGGGAUAGAAAAACUUCCUGGGUCAUUCAACUUUGGAGGCAGUUUAUUUUGGAUAAUCACACUGCAUUCCUAAGUUAACAUUACCGUUCCUUGAUCAUCGAUUUUUCAUUUCUUGCUUAGGAUAUCUUUUAGGAAUUUCGCAUAGUUAGGCAUUAGAGCAAGAGCUUCAGCAAAAGGAAUGUUGAUUUGAAGCUUUUUGAAUACAUCCAUAAACUUUAGGAAGCUCUUGUCAUCUUGUGCUUUCUUUAACCUUUGUAGGAAGGGGACAGGUGGAACAUAGGGUUUUACUUUUUCUUGUUCUUCUAGGUCAAUAAUGGGGACCUUUGGCUGUUCUUCCACGUCCUUUUCUUUCUUUGGUGGCUCUUCUAUUUGUUUGCCACUUCUCAGCGUGAUAGCCUAUACCUGCUCUUUAGGAUUCUUUUCAGUGUUGCUAGGUAAUGUACCUUAAGGUCGAGAUGCCAUCAUGUGUGCAAAUUAUCCUAGCUGAAUCUCCAGAUUUCUUAUCGCCGCCUGUUGGAUUUUAUGGUUUUCUCUAAUUUCAUUCAUGAAAUCCAUAUGUGAUUUAGAAAGAGCAGUGAGGAGGUCAUCAUAAGAUUUCUUCUCUUGAGGAAGGAAACCUGGUGUUGUGUUCAAGGCAUUGUUAGGAUUUCCAUAGGAUAGAUUAGGACGGUUCCUCAAUCUAUUAUCGUAUGAAUUGGAGUAUGGGUAAUUUUUUCUUCCUUGAUUCAUCACAUAGUUUACUUACUCCAAGGAUUGUGGAUUCAAAGAGUCUAUCAUGCAUUCUCCAAUCCCAUAUUGUCCAUUGCACCUAUCACAAACUUGCAUAAUAGAAUUUACAGGAUUGGUAGUUAACAGGUCCAGUUUUCUUACCAUGUUAUCUACCUUGGCAUUAAGUGCUGUGAUAGCAUCUAUUUCAUAGACUCCUGCAGUUCUCUUCCUUUUGAAAUUGUUUUGGUAAUUGCUGUUGCUUGCCAUCUCCUCUAUCAAUUCAUAUGCCUCAUCAAUUCCCUUCUUCUCAAAGGAUCCUCCUGCAGCUACAUCUAAAGUGAUUUUGAUAUUAGGAGAUAAUGCAUUAUAGAAAGUUUGUACCUGUGAGCACUUAGGCAAACUAUGAUGUGGGCACUUUCUUAACAAGUCCUUGAAUCUUUCCCAAGCUUCAUACAAGCUCUCUUGAUCAUGGUGACCAAAUGUCAUUAUCUCAUUGCGCAGUUUUGUGGUUUUUGAAUAUGGGAAGAAUUUUGCUAAGAACCUUUGGGCUAAUUCUUCCCAUGUUGUGAAACUUCCAGCGGGGCAUGAUUGUAACCAAGACCGCGCCUUGUCCCUAAUAGUGAAAGGAAAAAGUCUUAAUUUAAUUGCAUCUUCGGAAACACUAUUCUAUUUGAAAGUAUCACAAAUUUCCAGGAAAUUUGUGAUAUGAGCAUUUGGAUCUUCACUAGGCAAACCCCCAUAUUGGAUUGAGGUGGAAAGCAUUUGGAUAAUUGCGGUUUAAUUUCAAAAUUAUUAGCUUCCACCCUAGAUCUUAUAAUACUCGAGGUUGUCCCAUUAAGAUUAGGUGUUGUGUAGUCUCGCAAGGUGCGAAUUGGAUGUUGAGGUGGAGGUCCAUUCAUGUUCUCGUUUUUGUUCUCGUUGACCAUGUCUACUUGUUGUUCGGGUUUUAUUUCACGUGCUCUUCUUGCAGCAUUGUUCCUAUGAUAAGUUCUUUCAAUUUUUGGAUCAAAGACUAGAGGUUCAGUCCUUCUUGAUCUUCUUUGCAUAAACACCUGAAAAUAAUUCUUAGAAGAAAAGAUAAAUUUAAAACAAAAGAAUGUCUAAAUUAACAAUAGGGUAAUUAGUAUUGAUAUUGACAACGGCAAUCCCCGGCAAUGGCGCCAAGAACUUGAAAGUAAUUUUCGCAAGUGUACAAAUCGCAACAAGUGAUAUAGAGUGAAAGAGUAUCGUAUCCACAGGGAUUGUGUAUCAAGUACCAGAAUUUUGUUAACCGAUUAUUAUUUAAACGACAAUAAGAGAGAUUUGUUAUAAGGAAAGUAAAUUCGAAAAUUAAACAGAAAACAUCAAGCAACAAAAUUUAGAUGAAAGGGAAUCAAGGAUUUAAAACUACUAGGGAAUUUGAUUUCACUUAAUUCUAUCCAAUUUAUUUUAUUAGUCUGUUAAUCAAUUUUAAUUGUUCAAGUAGGGGAAACAACCCUAGAAUCACUAACAAGCUCUCUCGAUGUAUUGUUAGCUAUUCUAAUCCGGUCUAAUUACCUAUCUUUCAAUAGCGCAAUCAAACAUGAAUUAAAUCAUUAAGUUUUAUGGUUUGUUUUGUGAAUUCACAACCUAAGGUCAUUAACUUGUGAAAAUCCCCCAUGAGUCAAACCGUAUAGCUUCCGCAUCAAGUUAUUGUUCUCAUAUAAUUUAUUAUCUUUUUCGUAUCAAAAACCCUUCUCCCGAUAGUGAUUAAUAAAAUAAUUCAACCCAGGGGAAUAACUCUGCCUGGAAUCUUUAAGUUCAAUAAUAAAUUAUAGCAAGAACAAGGAAAAGCAAAUCUAAUAUUAUAAAUUGGAAUCGAAUUAAAUUACGUCAAAUCCCUAGCUUAGGAGUUUAGCUAGACAUAGUAAUUAAAUAAAACUCAAUAAUAAUUGAAUAAAUCUUCAUAAUCAGUAAUGAACAAUGAAAAUAAAAACAAGAUUAACAGUUUAGAGAGAAAAACUAGGCAACAACUAUGUAGAUGACUUCCUUGAAUCUUGGUACAAAUCUUGGAUGCUUAAGGUAUUUUAGAGAGAGAGAAUUAUGUAGAAAAUUAUUGAAAUUCGAGAUGCCUCACAAUGAGAAGCUCUCCUCUUUAUAUAGACCUUCUGGAGAGAAAUCAGACUCUGUUUAGGAAACAAAAUCCUAGUUAAGUACAAAAUCUUCUUUAGGAGAUCAUGACUGUUUAGGCUUUGGAUUUCUACUUAGUUAGGACUCUUUUCUCUUCCUAAAUAGGUUUAGAUCUUGUUUAGCACGUUUAGGAAAAUAUCUGAGGCGGGCCCAUGUGAGAAAAAGAUUGGCUCGCGUUUUUAGCUCAAGUCAGCUCUGCCUUCAUAGCAAGGGCGUGCCAUAUAGCACGGCUUGGGCGUGCUAGAGUCUAGAACUAUGAAUGGUUGAGCACAGGUCGUGCUAUGCAACACACUCAGAGGAGUCCUUGUGGCACGGGCGUGCCAUUUAGCAUGGGUAAGGCGUGCUUGGCUCUGUCCUUCGAAGAUGGAUUUCAUCAUGGGCGUGCUAGGCAAGCACGCCCUGAGUUUCUUUUGGGCACGGGCGUGCCAUUUAGCACGGUCUAGCCGUGCUAUCCCCUGACUUUCCACUUGAUUUUCUUUAGCUUUAGCAUGGGAUGGGCAUGCUCAAGCCUGAGUAUUUUACUUUGUAAUGCUCUUUUCUGUGCCAAAACCCUACAAAUUUCUUUCAGAUCAAGUGGAUUAUGAUUCAAGGAAGCUUUCAACAAAAUUAUAAUAAAAACGAAGUAAAAAUAAACUAAAGUGAUAAAUUUUACUAAAAUUCUAAAUAAAAACUAUACCACAAAAUACUAUAAUUGUGACACCUAUCAGCAAGUGUGUGAUGCUCGGAUAAUUCCUUCCCACCUUCACACCUUGCAAUCUACCUCUCCUUUUAGCAUCCUGAAAUAAUAAAGACAAACCCUCCGCACAGAAUAAAAACAAGUAAGGCGACAAAGGAUCGCCCUGUCUCAAACCUCUACCAGGACGAAUAGGGCCCACCUCCUUACCAUUCAAUAACACAGAGUACUUCACAUCAGUUACACAUAACAUCAUCCACUUCACCCACUUCUCACAAAAACCCAUUCUCAGCAUCAUACCCCUCAAAAACUCCCAAUUAACCCUGUCGUAUGCUUUUGAAAUAUCAAUUUUUAAAGCACAAGCACCCCCUUGAUUCUUCUUACUUUUGAUGUUAUGAAUUAAUUCAAAAGCCACCACCACAUUAUCAGAAAUUAACCUCCCAGGAACGAAUGCGGAUUGACAUUCAUCAAUAAUUAAAGGAAGAAUUUUUUUUCAACCUAUUCACUAAAGAUUUUGCUACAAUUUUAUACAAAACAUUACAAAGCGAAAUAGGUCUAUACUCUUUUAACGACUUAGGAUUAUCACAUUUAGGAAGCAACACAAUAUGGGUAUCUGUCAAAGUCUUUGGGAAGGUACCAGUGUCAAGCCAUUGUUUGCAGUCCUUCCAAAUAUCAUCUCCAAUCACAUGCCAAAAUUUUUGAAAGAACGUCGAAUUUAUGCCAUCUGGUCCAGGUGAUUUGUCAGGUUGUAUAUCAAAUGCAGCUUCUCUGAUCUCAUCCAACGUAAAUGGAGCCGUAAGAAUAUUGUUCUGGAUAGCUGUCACCUUUGGUUGAACAAAAUUAAAAAUUUCAAUGCAAACUGAUUCUUCUGCACUAUAAACAGUGGAAAAAUAAUUCAAUGUAAGUUGUUCCAAACUAUCAUUAUCUGUAACUAUCUCGCCAUCCUCAUUUUCCAACUUCAUAAUUUUAUCUCUCCUUUUUCUAGUCUUUAUUGAAGCAUGUAAAUAUUUGGUGUUUUGGUCCGCACAAGAAAGCCAUCUCUGUUUCCCUAUUUGUCUCAUUCGGCACUCUUCUUUGAAUAGAAUAAUAUUCCAUUCAUUUUUUAGUCGUUGAACAUUGACAUCAUCAAACCCAUCUCUUGCCUCUUCUAUACGUUGCUUUAAUACCCUUUUUAAAACUUUUAGUAGAAUGAUUUAAAACUUUUUGACAAUAUUGAUUAAACUCAUUUUUUCACCAAAACUAAAAGAUAUAUAUUCCAUAGAAAUCAUUUUAGCUAAUUCUUUUUUUUAAAUUUUUUUUUAGAAUAUUGAAAUAAGGAAACGUUAGAAGAUUUGUAUCCGAAAAUUUGUGUUUGAGCUCGAUCAACUCAUAUUUUGUCAGAUGUUUUGCCUCCAAAUGCUUCCAAAAUGAUCCACAACCACCCGCUUGUUUAUGUUUGUAAGAUGCUCCACAAUAAUCAAAUUACAUAAAAAAUUUAUCGCUUUUAAAUUUCUUCGUGAAAUGAAUAGCUAAUAUGUUGAAACUUUGUCUUGGUCGUCGAACAACUUAUGUACCUUGACUUCUUCUUGUCGUAAGUUGCCUUCAUCAUUAAAUUCGGUUAUAGAGUAAUAUAGAGUAGAGAGUAGUAGAGUGUAGAGAGAUAAUUUUGUGUAAAGUGAUUAUAAAUUAAAAAGGGGUAUUUAUAGUAAAUCCAAAAAAUCAACUUUUCAAAAAUACCCUUAAAACUAGUCAUUAUAUAGCCAUCUAUAGUUGUUAGGAGGGUAAAUUUGGGGAUUUCACAAAAAUAUUUGAAAAAAUUAAAAAAAGCUUUACACUUAAAUAUUCAAAUUUUUUUGGAACUGCUAGAUCGAAUAGUCGAUUCUAACCAGAUGGAAAAAUCGCCGGUUCCGACCAGUUCACAGUUCCUCAUAAAUUGGAAUUAGAAUCGGACCGCAGACCCUCGAUUUUGGUUCCUCACGUUUCGAUUUUGGUUCCCACUGAUUCCAAACCGGCGGUUUUGAUUUUGAAAACCUUGAAAUGGCUACCCCUAUAUUGAACUGAAGGCCAAUAAAGAAUAGGCUCUCCAAUACUAGAAAUUCAUCCAACCUUAAAACUUACGAUUUUGUUUAGUAAUUCUAAAUGAAGUACAAUGUAAUAUCAUUAAAAUUAGAGAGACUAGUGACUAAUGUGUCUCUCCAAAUGUAUGAUGGCCUCAGUUUUAGGUAUGGUUUGAUUAGAGACUCAACCAGAGCUUUCUUGAACGGUUAAGAGCUUGUUAUGGAAAGUCUUCUAUUUUUGGAGCUGAGUUAUGGUCUAUCUUUGAGGGUUUCACACUGCUUUAUUUCAGAGGUUUAACCAUAUUCUUAUGUAAUAGACAUCCAUUUAUAUUAAUGACUAAACUGUAAUAUGCCAAGGACUUAAGUUGUAAUAAGAACUGGGGAAAUUGAUAACUUGUCAAGAUAGACUUGGAUAUUAGGAGAUUUUCUCUCCUAAUAUCUCGCUCAGUUUGGUAUAUGCCACCAAUCAUGUAUCUUUCCAUAUAAACCAGUCUUUAAGGCCACGGGAAGAUUAAUGUCAUUAUUAUCAAUAUAAUUAUUUGUAGAGAAAUCAAUCAUUCAUUCAAUUAUUGUUGUGAUAAUUUUAACAAAAUCAAAUUGGUGCAGUGAGCGUGGAACACACCUCACAUUUCUCAGUUUGAGAAAAACCUCAUUUUUUAACAAAAAUAUAUAUAAGACAAUUUCAAGCAUUUGAACAAUCACCAACGCAGAUAGAUGAACCCCCACAGCUGGAGCUAACGAGACUGGUAGGACUAAACCUUCAAUUGGCCCAAUUGCUCAGGCUCUUCUAAUUUCGCUUUAUUGGAACCUUAAGCCACUAUGAUGCUAGCCUAAGCACACAAUAACUUUAUAGUUGUGCUAUAACGAUCGAUGGCCACUUCAGGACCCCUGGUGUUGCAAGUAUCCACGGAUGAUCUGAUAACGUGAAGGCGUGGCAAUGUUGCUAUGGAGGAAGGAGUUGCUGUAGACAAGCAAAUAAUGGAUAUGCCCCAGGACACCGAAUCAUCUUGGUGUUCUGAUACUUAGAAAGAAUGAUAACACAUUGUGCAAUCCAUUUGGGAAACCUCUACAACAUCACUGAGGAUGACUUCCAAACAAGAACCCUUCAAGUCCUCCAAGUUAAAAUUGCAAAGGAUAAUACUGAUUAUGGGCUAAGAAACAAUUCCCCCCUCAAACAUCAUGCCAGUAAACUUUCCACCAAAAUUGAAGAUGCUUAUCUUUAAGACAUAUGAUGGAACAACUGAAUCGAGGAGUCAACUAGCUAAUUUUAAAAUAGUGAUGCGUAUCCAGACCAGUGUGGAUGCAUUGCUAUGCUUAACUUAAGAUUGGUUCCAGAUACUAAAGAAAAGAUCAAUCAAUUCCUUUCACACCUAGUUGCCUCAUUCAAAGCUUAGUUUAUCACCUAUAUACGGAGCAAGAAGAUCUCAUCAGUCCUUAUUAAUCUUAAGAGAAUAGAGGAUGAGUCAUUGAGACAUUGCCUAUCCAUAUUCCAAAAGCUGGGUAUAAAAGUGGAAGAUCUAAACUCUAAAUCGCCUUUAGUUCCAUGGCAAAAACUAUAAGUAUGGUAAACUAUUUGACUCCCUUAAUAUUGAUCAACCAUAUUCUUUUUCAGAGUUGAUGGCGAUGGUGAAUAACUUUGCAAGACUAGACAAGGCCUGGAGGGCUCGGCAAGCCCAAGCCAAAGGCACCAAGGAAAAGAGAAGGAAAAAAAAUAAAAUAAAAGGAGGUCGCCAUCAAGUCUAGCAAACUGAGUCAUUCAAGUAUGAGUUAUUCCGCUUGUACCCCAUAUUCAAGAGUUAGAGACUAUAAUAAGAGAGGAAGAUUUCAGUCCCUUAGUUAGGAGCAGCUCAACCAUAUCGAGGAGUAUGCAGAAGAAAAAGGAUGAGAUCCAAAUUAACUAUCCUAAGAAAUUGAGAGAGGAGUCAGCAGCUUACAGUGACUACCUAAAUUAUACACAUAGAUAUCCAAGCCAGACUUGAAAAAUCCACCAAAACAGACUUGAAUUGGACGAACCAAAAUUAGUGUGAAAUCGACAGGCAAGUUACAUUAAUUCGCCCAUAAUUCUCUCUACAAAAUGAAUUUUAAGGCAAGGAACCGACAAAAACUAGACAGCAAAACUUUCCAACAGUAUAUCACAGGCAAAAAUUGAAGCUAAAACGAGCCAUGAACCGACUAAAUCAAGUGAAGGAUCAUACCGAGGUAGAAAAGACCAACUGGCUGAUCAACAUAGUCUGACCAAUGCUCAAGGUCGGUCGGUCGACCCUGAUUGCUGGUCAACCCCAGUUGGCUAGGUUUGACUAUUGUGAACACCUAAAUUCUAUACUCUGGAUAUCCAAACCAGACCUAAAAAUUCAUCAAAUUGGACAUAAAUCAAACGAACCAAAAUCUGGGCAAAAACAGACCGACAAUUUGCAUUGAUUCAGCCAUAAUCCUUUUCAAAGUGGGAAUUUCAAGAAAAGGUUAGUGUCAAUGGAAGCUAGACUAGAAGAAUUUUUCAACAGUAUAUUACAGGCCGAAAUUGGAAUUGAAUUGGGCCUCGAACGAAACGAAUCCAAACGAAAAAAAGACUGUAAAAGCCGAAAAUUGCACUAGACUGGCGGCUAGUUGCUUGGCUGUGGUGCUCUGGCGAGGUCCUAAGAGACAUAAUUUUCUUCUCUUAACUUUUAUCAUGAGGAUGUAAGACCUCAAACUGUCAAAUUUCAAGUUUAAAUUUUAAAUUCGCUAUUCCUAAAUUUGGUAUUAAAUUAAUAAAUUGGGAUGAUUAUUUCAACACUGAAUAGUAUAUCUAAUUAAUCCUAAAAUAGACAAUGAUAAAUUUUUGACUUAAACGAAUUGGUUAUAUAAGGAUGUUAAAAAUAAAAAUUUUAAUUAAUAAACCAAGUUUUAGCUAAACAUAAUCUCUUGGUUAUUGUUAUUACUAUAGCUAAUUAGAUUAUCGAACUAUUGAGUAAUGCAUGCUUAAGAAUACUAAUUUAGGAUUAGUAAAUUAAUUAGUAUGCUUUAUAGUGGAAGAAUAUGUGUGCAUAUACUAUACAUAGACUGUGAAUGUCCAUAUAAUUCUUUCUUUUUCUUUCAUUCUUUCAUUUAUAAAUUGUUAUGAGGUAUUAAAAUGUUGGUGACAAAGUUGAGUUGGAUUAGAAACUGAAUUGAUAUCCUACUAUUUGGGGAGAUGCUAUCCAAUUUUGAAAAUAUUUAUAGAUAACUAUUUUAGUUAUAUAUAUUCCAUAGACCUUAAUUACCAAGAGAACUAGAAGCUUCAUUACUGUUAUCAUUGUUAUAACUAAAGAAUCUGGUAGGUGACACAGGUAAUAGUUAUGAAUUAGAAUAAAUAAAGAAAUAAAGAAAAUUGUAAUUGAAUAGUUUGAUAAGUGAAGGUAAAUAACUAUAGUGAUUGUAACUAGUUAAUGAAUUAGAACUAAAUUUCUCGAGUUAGAAAUUUUUACUUAGAAUUUCCUUUCUACAUGCUUAUAGAGUUCUAGAAUGGCACGUCGAUAGCUUGAAAUGGGCAGUAAUAAAGAUAGUAUUGUUAGGACAAUAAUAAACUGUGAGUAGAGUUAGAUAAUCCUCAUUGCUUAUGCAUUGUACAUUCAUGCAUAUAUAAAUAAUACUUUAACUAUGUAAAAUAUGCAUACAUAUAGAAAUUACAUAUAGCUAUGUAUUUCAUGUUUUGUACCGAAUAUAUAUUUAUAUAUUACAAUAUAUGGGUAUGCUUUAUACUAUGUUCUCUGUUGAAUAUGUGAAAUUCUGUGAUUGGAUAUGAUUUGUUUUUGUUGUGCCGUGGAGUUAGAAUAAUGUGGGUCAUCUUGGGGUGAGAGCAUGAGUAUAUAUAUGGUGAGAAUACUAUCAGUGAGCUGUAAGCGGAUGGAGUGGCACCUCCUGUGCACUCCUCGAUUUUGAUGCACAUCAAUGAUAAAAAAACAUUAUAUAAGUGCCCGAUAAGGUCUACUCCUUAAGUGCACUUGACACAAAGAUUGGUAGAUUUACUAAUUCCAGAACAUUAUAUAAAGCAUGCUUUGGGGGUGAGCAUGAUCCUUAUUUAUAAAGGGACACUGCAGACUAAUAUGUAUUGUUUGAUCACUUGAACUCUUGUGAAUUAUUUGAUACGUACGCAUUCAUACUCGCUUGUUCAUUCAUGAAUAGCAGGACGGCUGUAAAUAAAUUAUUAUAUUAUUCAUAUGUCUGAUCAUGUGAGAAGGUUAUUUAACCCUACUCAUUGAGUUUAGGCACGCAACUCUGCCGUAAUAUUUUUUUAAGCUUUAAGAAGAAAAAGAGUCCUAUGGAAGCAAAUAGAUUGAACUACUGACGAACAAAAAUAUUAAUGGAUGUAUAGUUUUAUUGAGUACAAAUGCAUGUAGGAAAGAUUGUUAUUUAUAGAGUCCCGCAAUUGUAUUCCAAGUGUGUUGUAAUUAAAAGAUACAUAUGCAUUUAUUAUAUAAAUUAUAUUUAUGAAAUGUAUGUAAAUUAUUAGAUUAAGUCUACUAAGCUUUUGAACUGGAUUAUUGAAUGGUUGAAAUGACCUAACAACUUUGUUUUGAGAUUAUUUAUGAUGGGCCUAAGGCCUAGUUUGAUGACAAGUUAUAAAUCCAUUUAGGUUCAUGCUUACUGUGUGCUUUGGAGGCCUUAUGUUCACCCAGGUUCUAAUAACAAUCUGGUCCUUGAAAACAGAUCGUUACAUUAACUCUCUUUGUGUUUUCAAAAUAUUUUUCAUGACACAAAAAAAAAAAAAAUGUAAUUUAAUAGUUGAUGAAGCAUUAACUUAAUAAUAGAAAAACGAAAAGGAAAAUAGGAAAAAAAAAUGCUCCCUCCAUUCUAUUUAUAUAGAAAAAAAUUUCCUUUUUGGGCAUUCUAUUUAUGUAGAGAAAAUUUCUUAAUAUGGUAACUUUGGGACUAAUACCAAAGCAAAAAGUCGAAUAUGCCCUUAUUUUGGUUUAUAGAUUAAAUAUUGACUUUAAGAAUAUUUCAAGAAAGUGGCAGACAUUAUUGUGGUUGACAUUUAAUGUUAAAAAAUUGACUGAAUCAUGCAUUAAGAAAAUGUCAAAUUCAAGUCUAUUAUGUGCACAGAUUAAAUUUCACCAAAAAGCUUAUGCUUAACUUUUAAGUGUGCAUAUAUAAUGAAAUUUACUCAUAACUCUAAUAAAUCCUGAAUGGAGGAAAAUUUCCUCUCAAACGACUGUGCUAAAAUAAAAAUAGUUGUGCCAAUUUAUAUUUACUCCGAUGAACUCCUUAAUUGGCUAAAAAGAGAGAUACAGAACUUAAACCCUAAUUUCAUUGCUUAAAUAAAACUAGUUGUGCGCAUUUUUGCAUUAUGUCAAAUUCUAUAAAUUGUUUUAGCAGAUAUAGAUACAACAUCUGCAACUUUAUCAAUACUGCGAGCAUUUGAUUCUUCCCUUUCUGUUUCAGAACACAGUAACAUACAAACUGUAUUUUUCACAUCUACAAUGAUGUUUUUCCUUUUGUUGCUCUUUUCGGGCCUCUUUUGGAACGUUAAUUGGUAGUAGUGUGGUUUCGGAUUUUACAGAAAGCGGUUGUUCAGUGUAUGGUAAGGAGAUCAAGUCUAAGUGUUGAUUGUUGAGCAUGGGCACAUCUUCUGAAGUUGCAAGCAAGUUUUGAGAGACUGUAUUCAAAUCAAAAGGAAGGAAUGUGUCCAUGACGUUUGUGAAUUAAAUUUUAGCUUUGUGAACUCAUUCCUAUUUAGAUGAAUUCAGCUUUGAAAAUUUUGGCUCUAACUUUCAUUUUUUUCGCUUAAAUUUGGAGAAGCAAAAUAAAGAAUUUAAGGUUGAAAAUUUUGGCUAUGAACUUUCUUUCAACUUUCACUUCAAUUUUUUUAAUCAAAAUUUGAUAUUAAAAUUUUAAUGCGCAAUUGCAAUUAAACGGCCCACGUUUUUUUUUUUUUUUUGUUAUCAGAAGUUUAAAAAAAUAAAACGCCUUAUUUAAGCAACAGAUCCUUUCUCUCAUCAUUUAUCACGUUUUAUUGAAAAUUGGGGACCACUUUAAUAUCUUUUUAGGGGUAAAUUAAAAAAAAAUCCACAAAAAGAUCACAUCCUUAAUCCUAGAUAAAUUUUGACUUUCUCUAUAUAAAUAGAAUGGAGGAAGAAUUAAUCAAUACUCAAUAGAAAAAAUUUUCCGUUUGUUUUAUAAAUAAUAGGAAGAAGUUAAAAAUAAAAUUUAUUUUUUUAUAAAUUAAAAUUGAAUAGAAUUUUAUUUGACAAUAUUAACUAUUUUAGUAACUUUUAACUAAUUUUUAGCUAAAUAUUUAUAGAUGCCCCACCCAUGAACAUAAAUAACAGUGAGUACAUUCAUUUUAGAUAGGUCGAGUAUUUUAUUCAAUAAACCAAAUACACGAAAGAGGGAGUCAUGAUGGUAUUGACUAAAAAUUGGAAACUUUCAUAUCAAUACAUAAAUUUAUCAAUUAAAGCAAUACAGUACACAUAAAACAACUUUAAAGAAGAUGAAGUAAUGUAAUAUAAAUUAGGAGAAUUCGAUCUCAAAAUACCAUUUGGUGUGAUCCUUCGUUCCCCUUAAAAUCCAAUAUUUGACAAUUCAUUUUGGGCACUGAUUAAGGUCACGUUGGUAUGAGUUGCAUCGUGGAGGAUUUUUACGACUUUUACGUGGAAGGCAGUAGCGUUUCCCCCGACCGCAAUCAAGAGUAGAACGGCGUUUUCCCGUUACGCCAGUUACAACUUUGGUGCUAGCUGCAAGCAUUCUGUUAGUCUCGGAGUCCAUCAUCAACUCUAAUUCCAUGUUGGUGUCUGCCAUGGAAAAGGAAAAGGAGUUGCUGCUAAUCAUUUCCUGCGGAGUACUGACAGCUCGCAGACAACUGCUUCUGCUCAUCAGAAUCAAAAUCCCCACCACCGCUAGAGAAAGACUCCUCAUUCUGCCUUUUUUUUUUUUGUACUAUUUUCUAGUGUCGGUGUUUAUUUCAUAUGCAAAUACAGCUGUGGGGAGAGCUCUAAAUAGCAAAUUGGUGGUUUUUUGAC
rnacentral:lncRNA from 1 species